GAUGAACGCUGGCGGCGUGCCUAAUACAUGCAAGUCGAGCGAAGCGGGGACGGGUGAGUAACAGGUGGAUAACCUCCUAUAAGACUGGGAUAACUUGGGGAAACCGGUGCUAAACCGGAUAUUUGUAUGUGGCUCCGCGCUGCAUUAGCUAGUUGGUAAGGUAACGGCUUACCAAGGCCACGAUGCAUAGCCGACCUGAGAGGGUGAUCGGCCACACUGGAACUGAGACACGGCCCAGACUCCUACGGGAGGCAGCAGUAGGGAAUCUUCCGCAAUGGGCGAAAGCCUGACGGAGCAACGCCGCGUGAGUGAUGAAGGUCUUCGGAUCGUAAAACUCUGUUAUUAGGGAAGCGGUACCUAAUCAGAAAGCCACGGCUAACUACGUGCCAGCCGCCGCGGUAAUUC
rnacentral:rRNA from 1 species